rnacentral:rRNA from 1 species
GAUGAACGCUGGCGGCGCGCCUAACACAUGCAAGUCGAACGAUUAAAGCACCUUCGGGUGUGUAUAAAGUGGCGAACGGCUGAGUAACACGUGGGCAACCUGCCCCUUUCAUUGGGAUAGCCACGGGAAACCGUGGAUAAUACCGAAUACUUCGAGACUUCCGCAUGGAAGACUCGAGAAAGCUCCGGCGGAGAGGGAUGGGCCCGCGGCCUGUUAGCUUGUUGGUGGGGUAACGGCCUACCAAGGCAAUGAUAGGUAGCUGGGUUGAGAGACCGACCAGCCAGAUUGGGACUGAGACACGGCCCAGACUCCUACGGGAGGCAGCAGUGGGGAAUCUUGCACAAUGGGCGAAAGCCUGAUGCAGCGACGCCGCGUGCGGGAUGAAGGCCUUCGGGUUGUAAACCGCUUUCAGCAGGGACGAGGCGAAAGUGACGGUACCUGCAGAAGAAGCCCCGGCUAACUACGUG